CUUCAGACACAAAGGACCAGUCACUUACCCCAGCUCAGUUGCACCUUAGAUCUCACACUAAAGACAAUGCUUGUAGCCAAACCUAUAAGAAACUAUAUACAGAUUUAUUAAUAAGAAAAGGAAAGGAGAGUUAUUUACGAGGUUAAAGCAGGU